rnacentral:tRNA from 1 species
CUCCCUGUGGCUCAGCUGGUAAAGCAUCUGCCUGCAAUGCGGGAGACCUGGGUUCGAUCCCUGCGUUGGGA